rnacentral:misc_RNA from 1 species
GAUGAAGAACGUAGCGAAAUGCGAUACUUGGUGUGAAUUGCAGAAUCCCGUGAACCAUCGAGUCUUUGAACGCAAGUUGCGCCCGAAGCCAUUAGGCCGAGGGCACGCCUGCCUGGGUGUCACACGUCGUUGCCCCCCCAUCUACUCCUUCGGGAUUGCGGGGGGCGGAUGAUGGCCUCCCGUGCGCCUCGUCGCGCGGUUGGCAUAAAUGCCAAGUCCUCGGCGACGCACGCCACGACAAUCGGUGGUUGCGAAACCUCGGUUGCCCGUCGUGUGCGGUCGUCGCGCAUCGAGGGCUCGAAAAAAUUGCCGGGCUCCGGCUCGGCUUUCAACGCGACCCCAGGUCAGGCGGGGUUACCCGCUGAAUUUAAGGAUAUCAAUAAGCGGAGGA